rnacentral:lncRNA from 1 species
UAGUGUGAAACAACCUCUAAAAGCGGUGUUUAUAUAAUUUUAUAUUUAACACUCUCCGGUGUGGUUUGAGACUUUUUACAAGUAUUUAUAUAAUUUUAUAUUUAACACUCCCCCUCACGUCUGAGCUCGAGAUUUUUUACAAGGCCCAUAACGUGGACUUUAAUUAAAUGGGAUGAAAUUAAUUAUGUUAGGGGUCUGACAUGACUUGAAUUCAGACCCUCCUACUUUGAUACCAUGUGAAACAAUUGUUGUACUCUAAAAGCUUAAGCUGUUAAAGAACAGUGUUUAUAUAAUUUUAUAUUUAACAUAUAGGAGCAGUAAUUUUACCAUUC